rnacentral:rRNA from 1 species
UUUUGGACAAUGGGCGCAAGCCUGAUCCAGCCAUUCCGCGUGAGUGAAGAAGGCCUUCGGGUUGUAAAGCUCUUUCGCAAGGCCCCCCAAACUUACUUUUUAAUAAAGAGUGAGGUUGACGGUACAUUGAUAAGAAGCACCGGCUAACUACGUGCCCAGCAGCCCCGGUAAUACGUAGGGUGCGAGCGUUAAUCGGAAUUACUGGGCGUAAAGCGUGCGCAGGCGGCUUUGUAAGUCAGAUGUGAAAUCCCCGAGCUCAACUUGGGAACUGCGUUUGAAACUACAAGGCUAGAAUAUGUCAGAGGGGGGUAGAAUUCCACGUGUAGCAGUGAAAUGCGUAGAGAUGUGGAGGAAUACCAAUGGCGAAGCGCCCCCCCGGGAUCUAUGACGUCAGCAGAAAG